rnacentral:lncRNA from 1 species
GACUUUUGGGAUAACAUUUGAAUCGUAAAUGAAGAAAAUAUUUAAUAAAAAAAAUGUUAAAAAAAAAAAAAGAAUGGCUAUUCCAGCUUAUUUCUUCUUACCAUUUGCUUGGAAAUUGUUUUCCAGCCUUUUACUCUGAGGUAGUGUCUUUGUCCCUGAGGUAGGUUUCCUGUAUGCAGCAAAAUGUUGGGUACUGUUUAUGUUGCCAGUCUGUUAGUGUAUGUCUUUUUAUUGCGGAAUUGAAUUGAUUGAUAUUAAGAGAUAUGAAGGAAAAGUAAUUGUUGUUUCCUGUUAUUUUUGUUAGAGUUGGAAUUCUAUUCUUGUGGCUGUCUUCUUUUCUGUUUCUUGAAAGAUUACUUUCUUGCACUUUCUAGGGGAUAGUUUCCUUUUUGUGUUAGAGUUUUCUCCUUAUUAUCCUUUGAAGUGCUGGAUUUGAGGAAAGUUAUUGUGUGAAUUUGAUAUUGUCAUGGAAUACUUUGGUUUCUCCACCUAUGGUAAAUGAGAGUCUUUCUGGGUAUAGUAGCCUGGGCUGACAUUUGCAUUCUCUUAGGGCUUGUAUAACAUCUUUCCAGGAUUUUGUCGCUUUCAUAUUUUCUGGUGAGAAGUCUGGUGUAAUUCUAAUAGGUCUGUCUUUAUAUGUUACUUCACCCUUUCCCCUCAAUGCUUUUAGUAUUCUAUCUUUGUUUACUGCAUUUGUUGUUUUGAUUAUUAUGUGAUGGGAGGAAUUUCUUUUCUAGUACAGUCUAUUUGAAGUUCUUCAGGUCUCUUGUAUGUUCAUGGGCAUCUCUUUCUUUAGGUUUGGGAAGCUUUCUUCUAUAAUUUUGUUGAAGAUAUUUACUGGCCCUUUAAGUUGAAAAUGUUCCUUCUCAUCUAUACCUAUUAUCCUUAGGUUUGAUCUUCUCAUUCUGUCCUGAAUUUCCUGGAUGUUUUGAGUUAGGAUCUUUUUGCAUUUUGCAUUUUAUUUGAUUGUUGUGCCAAUUUUUUCUAUGGAAUCUUCUGCACCUCAGACUUUCUCUUCCAUCUCUUGUAUUCUGUUGCUGAUCUACGGCUCCUGAUUUCUUUCCUAGGAUUUUGGUCUCCAGAGUUGUCUCCCUUUGUCAUUUCUUUUUUGUUUCUACUUCCAUUUUUAGAUCCUGGAUGGUUUUGUUCAAUUUCUUCGCCUGUUUGGUUAUGUUUUCCUCUAAUUCUUUAAGGGACUUUAGUGUUUGUUUUUUAAGGGCUUCUACCUGUUUACCUGUGUUCUCCUGUAAUUCUUUAAGCGAUUUUUGUGAUUCCUCUUUAAGGACUUCUACUUGUUUAGCUGUGUUCUCCUGUAUUUAUUUAAGGAAUUUAUUAAUGUUCUUCUCAAAAUCCUCUGCUAGCUUCUUGAGAUAUGAUUUUUAAAUCUGAAUCUUGCUUUUCCUUUGUUUUGGUAUAUCCAAGACUCUCUGUGUUUGGAGUACUGGGUUCUGAUAUUGCCAAGUAGUAUUGGUUUCUGUUGGUAAAAUUUUUGUGUUUGCCUCUCGCCAUCUAGUAAUCUCUGGUGUUAGAUGUUCUAGCUGUCUCUGACUGGAGCUUGUUCCUCCUGUGAUUCUGUAAGCCUCUGUCAGCACUCCUGGGAGAUCGGGUCUCUCCUGGAAAGACCAGUGCACAGAGUGCUGUGGAAUAGCCACACCUCCUGGCUGCAGGUGUAGGCCUAUAGUAAUAUUUCCCAGAAACUUUGUUGCUUCUGAGGUGCUCUCCUGGUGUGGAUCAGCCUUACAAAGAAAAUGGAGAGAAAAUGGCGAUAUCCCCUGAGUCCAGGGGUCAGAGCACUCCCUUGAGGCAAUGUCUCCUCUGGCAGGGAAGGUGCAUACAGGACUGAGGAUCACCUCCACCUCCUGGCUGCAGAUGUAGGCCCACAGGUCCUGCAGGCCUGUAUGACUGUGUCCCAGAAGUUCGGUUGUUUCUGAGGCCUGUGCUCUCCUCUUCAGACCAGCCCUAAAGAGACACUGGAGAGAAAAAUCAACACCUUGUGUCUUAUCAGACCACCAUGGAUUAAAGCUGAACCAGCAACAUCAGAAACACCAGAAAGCCUACACACUCAUGGAAAUUGAACAACUCUCUACUCAAUGAUCUCUGAGUAAAAGAAGAAGUAAAGAAAAAAAUUAAAGGCUUUCUAGAAUUCAGUAAAAAUGAAGUCACGAUAUACCCAAAUGCACAAUGAAAGCAAGGCUAAGAGAAAGUUCAUACCACUAAGUGCCCUCAUAAAGAAAACACAAAGUUUCAUACCAGUGAUUUAAAAGUACACCUGAAAGUUUUGGAUAAAAAAAAAAAAAAAAAAAAGAAAAGAAGCAAGCACACUAAAGACAAGUAGAAGGCAGGAAAUAAUCAAAUUCAAGUCUGAAAUCAGUUAGAUACAAAGAAAAUAAUAGAAAGAAUCAACAAAACUAAAAGCUGAUUUUUUGAGAAAAUUAACAGGAUAGACAAACCCUUAGAUAAACUAACCAAGAAAAAGAAGAGAGAAGAGAGAGAAGAGAGAAAAGAAGAGAGAAAAGAGAGAAGAGAGAAUCCAAAUGAACAGAAACAGAAAUGAAAAGGGAGACAUCACAGCAGACAUUGAAGAAAUUCAAAGAAUCAUCAGUUACAUCAAAACUCUGUAUUG